GGAUGCGAUCAUACGAGCACUAAAGCACCGGAUCCUAUCAGAACUCCGAAGUUAAGCAUUCUUGCUUGAUCUAUAUGAAACCCGUUUUCUUAUUUUUGACGGUUGUGAUAU
rnacentral:rRNA from 1 species